ACUACGGGAGGCAGCAGUGGGGAAUAUUGGGCAAUGGGCGAAAGCCUGACCCAGCAACGCCGCGUGAAGGAAGAAGGCUUUCGGGUUGUAAACUUCUUUUGACAGGGAAGAGCAGAAGACGGUACCUGUCGAAUAAGCCACGGCUAACUACGUCCCAGCAGCCGCGUUAAUACGUAGGUGGCAAGCGUUGUCCGGAUUUACUGGGUGUAAAGGGCGUGUAGCCGGGCUGACAAGUCAGAUGUGAAAUCCGGGGGCUAAACCCCCGAACUGCAUUUGAAACUGUUGGUCUUGAGUAUCGGAGAGGCAGGCGGAAUUCCUAGUGUAGCGGUGAAAUGCGUAGAUAUUAGGAGGAACACCAGUGGCGAAGGCGGCCUGCUGGACGACAACUGACGGUGAGGCGCGAAAGCGUGGGGAGCAAACAGGAUUAGAUACCCUAGUAGUC
rnacentral:rRNA from 1 species